CACGUAGGGCGCAAGCGUUGUCCGGAAUUAUUGGGCGUAAAGAGCUCGUAGGCGGUCUGUUGCGUCCGCUGUGAAAACCCGGGGCUUAACCCUGGGCUGGCAGUGGAUACGGACAGACUAGAGGUAGGUAGGGGAGAAUGGAAUUCCCGGUGUAGCGGUGAAAUGCGCAGAUAUCGGGAGGAACACCGGUGGCGAAGGCGGUUCUCUGGGCAUGAUCUGACGCUGAGGAGCGAAAGUGUGGGGAGCGAACAGG
rnacentral:rRNA from 1 species